rnacentral:rRNA from 1 species
GACGAACGCUGGCGGCGUGCCUAAUACAUGCAAGUAGGACGCAGUUGCGAACGGGUGAGUAACGCGUAGGUAACUACCUAUUAGAGGGGGAUAACUAUUGGAAACGAUAGCUAAUACCGCAUACUAGUAGAUGGACCUGCGUUGUAUUAGCUAGUAGGUCGGGUAAUGGCCUACCUAGGCAACGAUACAUAACCGACCUGGAAAGGGGAUCAGACAAACGGGGACUGGGAAACGGCCCAGACUCCUACGGGGGGAAGCAGUUGGGAAUCUUCGGGAAUGGGGGGAACCCUGACCGGGCAACGACGCGUGAGUGAAGAAGGUUUUCGGAUCGUAAAGCUCUGUUGUUAAGGAAGCGGUACUUAACCAGAAAGGGACGGCUAACUACGUGCCAGCAGCCGCGGUAAUUG